GAUGAACGCUGGCGGCGUGCCUAACACAUGCAAGUCGAACGAAGUAUAUAUAGGAAGUCUUCGGAUGGAAUAUGUAUAACUUAGUGGCGGACGGGUGAGUAACGCGUAAGUAAUCAACCUGUGACACACGGAUAACUGAUAGAAAUGUCAGCUAAUACGAGAUGAACUGUUUAAAUUGGGAAAUGGAAACAGCAAAGCGAAAGCGGUCACAGACGAGCUUGCGUCUGAUUAGCUAGUUGGUGGGGUAAGAGCCUACCAAGGCGACGAUCAGUAGCCGGCCUGAGAGGGUGAACGGCCACAUUGGAACUGAGACACGGUCCAAACUCCUACGGGAGGCAGCAGUGGGGGAUAUUGCACAAUGGGGGGAACCCUGAUGCAGCAACGCCGCGUGAGUGAAGAAGGCCCUAGGGUCGUAAAGCUCUGUCGUAUGGGAAGAAAACAAAUG
rnacentral:rRNA from 1 species